rnacentral:rRNA from 1 species
CCUACGGGAGGCAGCAGUGGGGAAUAUUGCACAAUGGGGGAAACCCUGAUGCAGCGACGCCGCGUGAGUGAAGAAGUAAUUCGUUACGUAAAGCUCUAUCAGCAGGGAAGAAAGAAAUGACGGUACCUGACUAAGAAGCCCCGGCUAACUACGUGCCAGCAGCCGCGGUAAUACGUAGGGGGCAAGCGUUAUCCGGAUUUACUGGGUGUAAAGGGAGCGUAGACGGCGAUGCAAGUCUGAAGUGAAAGGCGGGGGCCCAACCCCCGGACUGCUUUGGAAACUGUAUGGCUGGAGUGCAGGAGAGGUAAGUGGAAUUCCUAGUGUAGCGGUGAAAUGCGUAGAUAUUAGGAGGAACACCAGUGGCGAAGGCGGCUUACUGGACUGUAACUGACGUUGAGGCUCGAAAGCGUGGGGAGCAAACAGGAUUAGAUACCCGAGUAGUC